ACGUAGGGGGCAAGCGUUAUCCGGAUUUACUGGGUGUAAAGGGAGCGUAGACGGUUUAGCAAGUCUGAAGUGAAAGCCCGGGGCUCAACCCCGGUACUGCUUUGGAAACUGUUAGACUUGAGUGCAGGAGAGGUAAGUGGAAUUCCUAGUGUAGCGGUGAAAUGCGUAGAUAUUAGGAGGAACACCAGUGGCGAAGGCGGCUUACUGGACUGUAACUGACGUUGAGGCUCGAAAGCGUGGGGAGCAAACAG
rnacentral:rRNA from 1 species